GAUGAAGAACGCAGCAAAAUGCGAUAAGUAAUGUGAAUUGCAGAAUUCAGUGAAUCAUCGAAUCUUUGAACGCACAUUGCGCCCGCCAGUAUUCUGGCGGGCAUGCCUGUUCGAGCGUCAUUUCAACCCUCAAGCACAGCUUGGUGUUGGGACUCGCGUUAAUUCGCGUUCCUCAAAUUGAUUGGCGGUCACGUCGAGCUUCCAUAGCGUAGUAGUAAAACCCUCGUUACUGGUAAUCGUCGCGGCCACGCCGUUAAACCCCAACUUCUGAAUGUUGACCUCGGAUCAGGUAGGAAUACCCGCUGAACAUAAGCAUAUCAAUAAGCGGAGG
rnacentral:misc_RNA from 1 species